rnacentral:rRNA from 1 species
AGGGUUUGAUCAUGGCUCAGGACGAACGCUGGCGGCGCGCCUAACACAUGCAAGUCGAACGAGCGAGAGAGAGCUUGCUUUCUCGAGCGAGUGGCGAACGGGUGAGUAACGCGUGAGGAACCUGCCUCAAAGAGGGGGACAACAGUUGGAAACGACUGCUAAUACCGCAUAAGCCCACGGCUCGGCAUCGAGCAGAGGGAAAAGGAGUGAUCCGCUUUGAGAUGGCCUCGCGUCCGAUUAGCUAGUUGGUGAGGUAAUGGCCCACCAAGGCGACGAUCGGUAGCCGGACUGAGAGGUUGAACGGCCACAUUGGGACUGAGACACGGCCCAG